rnacentral:rRNA from 1 species
CAACUUUCAACAACGGAUCUCUUGGCUCUCGCAUCGAUGAAGAACGCAGCGAAAUGCGAUAAGUAAUGUGAAUUGUAGAUUUUCAGUGAAUCAUCGAAUCUUUGAACGCACCUUGCGCUCCUUGGUAUUCCGAGGAGCAUGCCUGUUUGAGUGUCAUUA